AUGCAAGACUACUUCACGGAGAAUCCAACAUAUCGACCGCACCUCUUCCGGAGAAGGUACCGAAUGCGCCGAUCUCUCUUUGUGAAAAUUGUUCAAGCUUGCGAGGCAGAUUGUCGGUAUUUUACUCAAACAAGAAAUGCCGCGGGCUUGAAGGGAUUUAGUGCAUACCAAAAAAUCUCGGCAGCUAUGCGGGUGAUUGCAUAUGAUGUGUAG
rnacentral:rRNA from 1 species